rnacentral:rRNA from 1 species
GACGAACGCUGGCGGCGUGCUUAACACAUGCCAGUCGAACGGAAAGGCCCCCAUCUUGGUGGGGGUGCUCGAGUGGCGAACGGGUGAGUAACACGUGGGUGAUCUGCCCUGUACUUCGGGAUAAGCUUGGGAAACUGGGUCUAAUACCGGAUAGGACCAUGGUUUAGUGUCUCAUGGUGGAAAGAUUAUUGUUUUGGUGCAGGAUGAGCUCGCGGCCUAUCAGCUUGUUGGUGGGGUAAUGGCCUACCAAGGCGUCGACGGGUAGCCGGCCUGAGAGGGUGGACGGCCACAUUGGGACUGAGAUACGGCCCAGACGCCUACGGGAGGCAGCAGUGGGGAAUAUUGCACAAUGGGAGCAAGCCUGAUGCAGCGACGCCGCGUGGGGGAUGACGGCCUUCGGGUUGUAAACUCCUUUCGUUAGGGACGAAGCCGCACUUUUUUUGGGUGUGGUGACGGUACCUUUGUUAAGAAGCACCGGCUAACUACGUG